rnacentral:rRNA from 1 species
GACGAACGCUGGCGGCGUGCUUAACACAUGCAAGUCGAACGGAAAGGCCCUUUUUUUGUUGGGUGCUGGGGUGGCGAAGGGGAGAGUAACAUGUGAGGAACCUACCCUGGACUUUGGGAUAAGUUCAGGAAACGGGGGCGAAGACCGGAUAGGAGCUCCUGCGGCAGUGGGGGGGUGGGAAAGUGUCUGCUGUUGGGUCGGGUCGGGCGGGUUGUGAGGUUGUUGGGAGGGUAGGGGCUGAGCACGGCUUUGACGGGUGGCCGGCCUGAGCGGGUGUCCGGCCACAUUGGGACUGCGAUACGGCGCAGCCGCCUACGGGAGGCAGCAGUGGGCAAUAUUGUACUAUGGGCGCGACGCUGAUGCAGCAACGCCCCGUGCGGGGUGACGCUCUUUGGGUUGUAAACCGCUUUCGCCUGUGAUGAAGCGUGAGUGACGGUAAUGGGUAAAGAAGCACCGGCUAACUACGUG